CAUGAGCGGAUCAUGAGCAAGUUGCAACGAACACGCAACGAAACUAAAAACUAAGUAAUAAUAUCAAAUUAUAGAAAACAUAAUUUUAUUUCAGCAAUUUAAUUGUAUAUCUACAAUUUUUAUUUAAUAAUGAACGACAAAAACUAAUUAACAACCAAAAACUUUGAACAAAAAUUAUUUAAGACCACUGUGGCAGCAGUUCUUAUUAUAAAUUGGGAAACCUGCGUCCUAUGGGUAGAACAAUGAAAAAUUGGAUUUUGUACUAAAUCUGCUGUGAUAAGUUCUAUUAACUGACUGCAAGGAUUUUCCUUUUCAAUGUGUGGUAUUAGUAGAUGUAUAACUUCAGCCAGUUCUUUUAAAACAGCUACAAAUUCGAGAUUGGGAUAUGUCAGCCCCCCACGAUCUUGUAAAUUUAUUAAACGCAAUAAGGGUCCAGGGAUGGUUUUAGUUAAUAAUGAAGACACGCAGUAAUCACACUUAAAUUUAUCAUUCAUUUUUUUUAUGAUAUAGCCCGCCAAAAAAGCCACUGAUGCUGAAUAGACAGUAUUAUCUGUUAACAUCUGAACGUUGUGUAAAUUGCGAAGUUGUUGUAAAGUCGUAAAAGGUAAUACAAGAUCAGAGCAGUGUUUAUGAUGUUCUUGCGUAGAAGAAGAAGAAGUAGAAGGAAGGAUAUGAUGUUUACUAACGAAAUCAACAUUUGAUGCGACAUUUGCAGAUUUUGAAGUUUUGAUAAUACCACAUUUAAGAAUUUGUUUUAAUGCAUACUCAGCUGCUCGAGCAUCUGUGGCAUCAUUUGAUCCACCUCUCAACCUAACAUGAGAAAACAUGGCUUCGAUACAAUCAGAACUGAAAGUUCGUGUUAGUACAUAGUAAAAUCCUACUUCUUCAAGUAAGAAUUUUACUGUAAGAUACGUACUGCGGGCGAUAAAUUUUAAAGAAUGCGCCGUUUCCUUGGAUAAACCAGGCAAACCAGCUCGUUGAGACUGCACCUGAAUGUCAUCGAUGUAUUGAGGGAAAUCAUGGGUGAGCCAGUGUAAACGCUCAUCUGAUACAUUGACAUAUGGUGCCACAGAACUAUCCAAAGACCGUAUAUAUUGGUUUUUGCUGCUAACGUUAUGUAUUUGGAAAAAGUGAUGCAUACAUUCUAAAUAUUUCGUAGUUGCAGAUACAUUUUGGAAUAGUUCAUGGCCAUUUUCAUUUAAGAAUUUUAAAGCAGCAGUUACAGAUGGGUAAAAUAUCUGGAUGGCUCUAAGGACAUUCAUUUUUUCUAAAUUAUUUGGAAAUAGAUGCUUUUUUGUCAGGAACUUCACUGGUUUGACUGGUAAAUCUCUUUGUAAAUCAUACAAAUCUGUUAAAAAUGAUGCAGAGAUCACGCCAUCAGAGGACAUCAUCUCAUUUUGCAGGAAUAAAUUCCUCGCAUUUUUUAUGGCGUGACAAUAGUCAAAGCUUAGAAAUAAAGGCAAAGGAGACAAAUAGGGGUGACUGAUGACAUUUUCAAUGGUGCCAUUUCCAAGAAGCUUAAAUAAUUUUACGUUCAAUGCCAAAUUGUUAAAGAAUAAAAUUCUUCAGCGGUAAAAGAAGAAUGGAAAAAAUAUCCCGCUGGGAUCGUGAAUCUGGUCGUUAACCCAUGCACAACAUAACACAUCAUUUGAUGAGCAAUUUCCACCUGUCCUCCAAUUGUGUUACUGCUGGAUGUGCUUAAACCGUAAAGUCGAUCGUCAGAACGACUGUAGAUCAGUUUUUGUCUUAUAGCCAUGUCAUCAAUGACAAGGGAGCACACUCUUUCAAUGGGAUUUUUGAAAUUGGAGACUUCUGUUGUUAAU